CGGACGGGUGAGUAAUGUCUGGGAAACUGCCUGAUGGAGGGGGAUAACUACUGGAAACGGUAGCUAAUACCGCAUAACGUCGCAAGACCAAAGAGGGGGACCUUCGGGCCUCUUGCCAUCGGAUGUGCCCAGAUGGGAUUAGCUAGUAGGUGGGGUAACGGCUCACCUAGGCGACGAUCCCUAGCUGGUCUGAGAGGAUGACCAGCCACACUGGGACUGAGACACGGUCCAG
rnacentral:rRNA from 1 species